UACGGGGGGGGCAAGCGUUGUUCGGAAUUACUGGGCGUAAAGGGCUCGUAGGCGGCCAACUAAGUCAGACGUGAAAUCCCUCGGCUUAACCGGGGAACUGCGUCCGAUACUGUCGGGCUCGAAUCCGGAAGAGGUGAGUGGAAUUCCUGGUGUAGCGGUGAAAUGCGCAGAUAUCAGGAAGAACACCAAUGGCGAAAGCAGCUCUCUGGGACGGUACUGACGCUGAGGCACGAAAGCGUGGGGAGCAAACAGG
rnacentral:rRNA from 1 species